UACGUAGGUGGCAAGCGUUGUCCGGAUUUAUUGGGUUUAAAGGGUGCGUAGGCGGCUUUGUAAGUCAGUGGUGAAAUAUGGCAGCUCAACUGUCAAGGUGCCAUUGAUACUGCAGAGCUUGAGUACAGAUGAGGUAGGCGGAAUUGACGGUGUAGCGGUGAAAUGCUUAGAUAUCGUCAAGAACACCUAUAGCGAAGGCAGCUUACUAGGCUGUAACUGACGCUGAGGCCCGAAAGUGUGGGGAUCAAACAGG
rnacentral:rRNA from 1 species